rnacentral:lncRNA from 1 species
AAUCUCACUAACUCAUAGAGUUAAUACCUUCCCAAUACCAAUUCUCUUAAUUGUUUUAGGAACGCAAAAGAGAAAACUAAGAGAUAUUGCGUGAGAAAAUAUGUUCUCUUAUUAGGAGAGAGAGAGAGAGAGAGAGACAAACACAAGGUUAAUAGCGUUAAUUAACUAUAUGCAUAGGGAAGUUUUUCAAACUGUUAUACUAUCAGACAAUAUUACUAAUCCAUUCAUAUUAUAACAUAUGAAUUUCUUGUUAAUACUUUAUGAUGAUAAAAUUAACUCAUAUUAUAAAACGCAAAUGCUAUUAGCACUACCUAAAAUGUGUAUGAUAGGAGCAUAUUUAUGCGACUUAGUCAGCUUGUUUUCUAGCACUUUUAUAGUUAGUUUGUGGUUAUUAUAGUGUUUUAAGCUAUUUUCGUGUAUUUGUAGGUCCAAAUGACAAGAAAAUGCAUUUUGGAGCAUUUUGGAGCAUUUUGGAGCGGUUUUGGGCACUAAAUGGAUAGCACAUGUAUGGGCCAAGAUGGAUAGACGAAUUUGGAGUUCAAAAGGCUAGGAAUCUGAUAAGAAGAUGAUGAAAUUAAAUUCAAGACAUAAAAGAUAAGGAAUAAGCUCAAAAGAGGAAAGAUUAUCCAAAACCUUAUCCAACCUUAUCCAACCUUAUCUUAUCCAAACUAACCUUAUCUUAUCUUAUCAUAUCCUAAUCUUAUCAUGCCUUCAUCCUAGCUGCAAGGGGACCUAAAUAUAUAUUUCUAGAAGCAUUCUCUUCUAGAAAUCCCAAAUCAGCCACAAAACGCAUUGUUUCUAGAAUCCCUACAAAAGUGGUGCUUAUUUCCCUUCUAGAAGGCUUUUGCCUUGCCUUGCCUUGCAAGCAAUUCCCAUUCCCUCCAAAUCAGUGCCGCACCCCUCUAUCCCUUUUCCUUUGUGGAUUCUGUUUUAUUAGGCCUUAUUCCUUGUGGAUUUGGGUUAUACAAAUUCUUUUCUGAAAUUAAUUAGGCCAAACCCUUUCCUUAGUGGAUUUAAACCCCUGUGCCUCACCCUAGGGCCUUAAUUCUCUUAAUGUGCUGAUUCAUAACCCUAAUCUGAUUAACCCUAGGGUUUUGCCUUGCCUAUAUAUAUGUGUAAGCCUAAAUUCGUCACCACCCUUCAUACCAUUCAGAAACACCUUUGCCGCAACCCUAAACACCAUUUUACAUCACAAAACAUCAUUCUACAUCAAGAUACAUCUCUGCCGCACCUUUUGGAGAAGAAGGGGCCGUGCAUUCCAUUGAUGAAUGAGGACCUUGUGCACAAGUCAUCUGCAUCCUUGGGAAUUCUAAGAGUUUUUUCUUCCCUCGUUUUAGUUUCAAUGUUUAUUUCAAUUUGCUUUUCAAUUGCUAUGAACAUGUGUAACUAAAUUCUUAUUAGUUAGUGGUGAAUUCAAAGCCAUGAACAUAUGUUAAUAUGAAUUGAUUUUUUCAGUUAUUGUUUCGUAAAACAUGAAUGUGAUUUACUUAUCUAUUUGAUUGAUAACUUAUUCUUGUGUGUUGAUUAAGGAGGCCUACUUAGUUUGCAUGCAUGAAUCUGAUGCUAAAUUAUAAGGGACUUUCACCUAAUUGUUAGGAACUUAUAAUUAAAAGUAGUGAAGAUUGUUAGUCACAAUCGUGUUAAGUAGAUUCUUAGCAAGAGUAUCAUGCAGUUCAUAGUUAUAAUUGUCUUGUCAAUGCUUAUGAUUUCUAUGGAACUUAAUGAUCUUUGAAUGUAUCUCUAUCAUGCUGUUCAUAUAGGAAACUUGAGAAGAAUGAUUUGGGUUGUUAUAUGCAUUCAUCCAAUUCAAUUAAUCUAGGGAAAUCUAAUAGUUAAUUAGUACAUUCACGAUUAAUUUGGGGCAUUGUCAUUCAUGGUUUAAAGAAACAAUACUGGAAAUCGAUUUAUGUUGCAUAUGUUCAUGUGUGGAGAAUGAUCCUCUAACUAGCCUUUCACCCUUGAAUUCAUCUCAAUUUCAUUUUAGUUUACUUUGUUUUGCAAUUUGUUUAGUUUUAAUUCAAUUUCAUCAGAAACCAAACUCCCUUUUCUAUUUUGUGUUUUUAGGUCAGAAUCUACCCUAAUUAGAUUCUUUAGAGUGUUUUGAGUCAAUAUAGGUUAGAAUUAGUCCAUAAACAUUGGUUGAGUCUUAGUUUAGUCUUAAAUUCGUCCAAUUUAAUCCCUAGUAUCUGUUUUGAGUCUAAUUGUUAGUAUUGUGCUGUUUUGAGUCUUUUAAGUGUGUUUUGAGUUUGUUAAGUCAUAAUCUGUUUUCUUUUAGUAUUUUGAGUCAAUUUGAGUUUUAUUUUCGUCUAAAUCACUUGUUAGGUUUAGAAUUGAGUCAAUUCCAUUUAGUUUUGCAGAUUUGAGUGUUUUAGGUCAGUUUAGAGUCUAUAGAGUCUAUUCUUGUGUUUUUAAGUCUAGUUUAGUGUUUUAGAGUUUAAUUUGAGUAGAUUAGCAGCCCUAGUUAAUCUCCGGUUUAGAAUAAUCCAUACUUACAUCUUUGCUACAAUUGUCAUCAAUAGGGUUUAAUUUGCGUGUUGGAUUAUUUCACAUCAGUGUAUCUCAACCCAAGGUUUCUCGUUCAUAGCUAGUUCCAUCACAACAACUUUGGUUUUCAUUGAAAACAAGUAUCAUAUUUGUGUGUUCCAAAUUAAGCUAUGUUUCCUUCAAGAACCACAAGAAAGUUAAGGCCUAUUUGAUACUUUACUUGAAUCCAACUUUUAAACUAAAAAACAAUUUUCAAGUUUUAGGCCUUAAAAACUUGUUUAGUAGGACUAUUUUAAAAAACUGAACUCAAGACUAACUAAAAAAUAUAGUCUAUUCUCUAAAAACAUUAAAAAAAAAAGAGUUUUUAGAGUUUUUAAACUUAAGUAAAUUGUAGCUAUGAUCCUUAACUUUAACUCAAUUGGAGCAGUGGUCCCUCAACUAAAAAUCCAUUAGGCCAUCUCCAAUCGAAGGGUCCAGAGGGCCAGAGGGCCGAAAAUAGCCCUAAAACCGUCUCCAACCGAGGGCUAGGCCAGAGGGCUCUGGAAUCUGGGAGGGCCCCACGGGAUUGGAGAGGGCUGGCUGCUUUCGGCCAGCCAGCCAGCUCCGGGCUGGCUAUUUUUUUUUUUUAAUGUUUUCCUAUUGCUGUCGGUUAUAACCGACAGCAUUAAAGAGUUUUUUUUUUAAUAGUUCUACUAUUAGUGUCGGUUAUAACCGACACUAAUAGUUUGAAUGUUUUUUAAUAUAACGGCUAGUAGCCGUUGUAUUAUUAGGCCUUUUUUUUUUAAUGAAUUUAAACUUUUUUUUUCCCUUUUUUUUUCCUUUUCAUAUGAAUCAAAUUUUGUUUCAUAUUUUUUUUCAAUUCUACUUUACAAAAUUUUGUUUCAUAUUUUUUUUUAAAUUCUAUUUUUUCCUUAUAACUUCUAUUUUACAAAAUUUGAUUCAUAUUUUUUUUCCUAUAACUUCUAUUUCACAAAAUUUGUUUCAUAAUUUUUUUCAAUUCUAUUUUUUUCCUAGGCCAUUUAU